rnacentral:rRNA from 1 species
UUNUGAACUGGGUGACUAGAGUGUGUCAGAGGGAGGUAGAAUUCCACGUGUAGCAGUGAAAUGCGUAGAGAUGUGGAGGAAUACCGAUGGCGAAGGCAGCNUCCUGGGAUAACACUGACGUUCAUGCCCGAAAGCGUGGGUAGCAAACAGGAUUAGAUACCCUGGUAGUCCACGCCCUAAACGAUGUCGAUUAGCUGUUGGGCAGCAUGACUGCUUAGUAGCGAAGCUAACGCGUGAAAUCGACCGCCUGGGGAGUACGGUCGCAAGAUUAAAACUCAAAGGAAUUGACGGGGACCCGCACAAGCGGUGGAUGAUGUGGAUUAAUUCGAUGCAACGCGAAGAACCUUACCUGGUCUUGACAUGUACGGAACCCUCCAGAGACGGAGGAGUGCCUUCGGGAGCCGUAACACAGGUGCUGCAUGGCUGUCGUCAGCUCGUGUCGUGAGAUGUUGGGUUAAGUCCCGCAACGAGCGCAACCCUUGUCAUUAGUUGCCAUCAUUAAGUUGGGCACUCUAAUGAGACUGCCGGUGACAAGCCGGAGGAAGGUGGGGAUGACGUCAAGUCCUCAUGGCCCUUAUGACCAGGGCUUCACACGUCAUACAAUGGUCGGUACAGAGGGUGGCCAAGCCGCGAGGCGGAGCCAAUCUCACAAAACUGAUCGUAGUCCGGAUUGCACUCUGCAACUCGAGUGCGUGAAGUCGGAAUCGCUAGUAAUCGCAGGUCAGCAUACUGCGGUGAAUACGUUCCCGGGUCUUGUACACACCGCCCGUCACACCAUGGGAGUGGGGGAUACCAGAAGUAGGUAGGGUAACCGCAAGGAGCCCGCUU